GAAAUCCUGAAACAUACGACAAGGCUUUUUUAAAUUCAACCGACAAAUGUUAUAUGGGAGAUCGUGUCUAACAACUAAUAACAUGCCUGUACAUUUUUUAUAGGAUUUUAUGACGUUGGUAGUAGAUCACCCACCUGGGAGUAUCUCGGGUAUGAAUUUAUUGGGCCACCGGUGUUUUGGGAUAUUA
rnacentral:other from 1 species